rnacentral:lncRNA from 1 species
AAAUUGACUCAGUGCCAGGUCUGCUGCAGUUUGCUGGAGGUCCACUCCAGACUCUAUGUACCUGGAUAUCACCAGCGGAAGCUGCAGAAUAGCAAAGAUUGCUUCCUGGUCCUUCCUCUGGAAGCUUCAUCCCAGAGGGGCACUGGCCUGAUGUCAGCUGGAGCUCUCCUGUAUGAGCCUCCGGUAAUCACCAUUUUACUCUCUACCUCCAUGAGAUCAACUUUUUUAGCUCCCACAGUUGGUGCUCCAUCUAUACCAGGUUGCUACUUCAUGUUUGGACUUGGAUGAAACAGCAUACUAUAAGGCAUGAAACCUGGCUUCCUGAGUGACAGCUGAGAGGAGAGAUGUAGCUGAACCAAUCAGCUACAACGUCAUUCCAGUGUCCAUACUUACAUAGUGGAAAAUCCUCUAAAGCCCACUUCUGAGAGAACACUAAUUUCUAGAUUUCACAUUUCCCGAAUCCCGUAUAAGAUCAGUUCUUUCUUGGU